CCCCCACUUCCCCCGAACCGCUCGUCUCCACUCCCCCCUCACUCCCCGAUCCCCCUUGGAUCGGGAUCGAUCCCGUCGUCGCUCACCACCCUGUCGCCCUCGUCGCCGGUGGCUCGGUCGCCACCCCGCCACCUCGACCGCCUCCUCGCUGGACCCUGCGCCCCAUCCUGUUCACCUGCCGCGCCGAAGCCCCACCACCACCGCCGCGCUCGCGCUCAGGGAUCCGCCGCCUCAUCAUCAUCUCAUCCCCGCCGCCCGAAGCUCCUCCGCCACGCCCUCGACGCCACCCCGAACCGCCGUCGCCGAGCGCCCUUCGUCGGAGCUCCUCCGUUGCCGAUGGAUCUCGCGUCCCCGUCCUCCUCCACAACGACGUCCACAAGCCACGCCGACCCCCCUUCUCAGCAACGCUACUAUGAGACCGACGCCGCUGCUACCCAGUACGACUACAGAGUUGACGACCUCUCCUUCUUGCCAAAGCAACCAGACUUUGGAGCCCAGGAGCUAGACGCCACCGUCGACGAUGACUACUACACUGGAGGUGCCUACUACUACGUGCAGGCUGCUGACGAUGACCAGGAGUAGUUAGGAGGAUCCCAGGCAGGAGGCAUGCCCCUCUUUCGAUCUGUAUCCCAGUUUGUGCUAGCCUUCUUAAGGCAAACUUGUUUAACUUAUGUCUGUACUCAGAUAUUGUUGCUUCCACUGACUCGUCUAUGAUCGAGCACUUGUAUUCGAGCCCUCGAGGCCCCUGGCUUGUAUUAUGAUGCUUGUAUGACUUAUUUAUGUUUUAGAGUUGUGUUGUGAUAUCUU
rnacentral:rRNA from 1 species